CAGGGAUCGCCCCCCGUCAGCGAGUUUCGCCCACGGGGGCUGU
rnacentral:sRNA from 1 species